rnacentral:rRNA from 1 species
CAGAGGGGGCGAGCGUUGUUCGGAAUUACUGGGCGUAAAGGGCGCGUAGGCGGCCCGCUAAGUCGAACGUGAAAUCCCCGAGCCCAACUCGGGAACUGCGUCCGAUACUGGCGGGCUUGAAUCCGGGAGAGGGAUGCGGAAUUCCAGGUGUAGCGGUGAAAUGCGUAGAUAUCUGGAGGAACACCGGUGGCGAAGGCGGCAUCCUGGACCGGCAUUGACGCUGAGGCGCGAAAGCUAGGGGAGCAAACGGGAUUAGAUACCCCGGUAGUCCUAGCCCUAAACGAUGAAUGCUUGGUGUGGCGGGUAUCGAUCCCUGCCGUGCCGAAGCUAACGCAUUAAGCAUUCCGCCUGGGGAGUACGGUCGCAAGGCUG